GAUGAACGCUGGCGGCGUGCCUAAUACAUGCAAGUCGAGCGAACAGAUGAGGAGCUUGCUCCUCUGACGUUAGCGGCGGACGGGUGAGUAACACGUGGAUAACCUACCUAUAAGACUGGGAUAACUUCGGGAAACCGGAGCUAAUACCGGAUAAUAUAUUGAACCGCAUGGUUCAAUAGUGAAAGACGGUUUUGCUGUCACUUAUAGAUGGAUCCGCGCCGCAUUAGCUAGUUGGUAAGGUAACGGCUUACCAAGGCAACGAUGCGUAGCCGACCUGAGAGGGUGAUCGGCCACACUGGAACUGAGACACGGUCCAGACUCCUACGGGAGGCAGCAGUAGGGAAUCUUCCGCAAUGGGCGAAAGCCUGACGGAGCAACGCCGCGUGAGUGAUGAAGGUCUUCGGAUCGUAAAACUCUGUUAUUAGGGAAGAACAAAUGUGUAAGUAACUAUGCACGUCUUGACGGAACCUAAUCAGAAAGCCACGGCUAACUACGUG
rnacentral:rRNA from 1 species